GGGUAAUUAGCCACUUCUCAAUUCCUUUGACAGCUUUUGUGAUUUAGCAAUUGUCCACUACACAAAUUGCAUAGUCACAAAAGUGAUCAUGGAUUUGAUCCUGCCACUAAUCUCACAA
rnacentral:pre_miRNA from 10 species